UCUGAAGACUGUGGAAAUCAGUCGAAGUCUUGCAGCCUGGCAGGGUGAUACACUUCUAUAGUCUUGGCUACUCGAGCUGUGGGCUGUGACAGACUACGUUCAUCGGGUGUCCGCACUAAGUUCAGCGUCAGUAUGGUGACCUCUUGGGAGUGGAGGACUGCCAGGCUGCCUAAGGAGGGGUGAACAGGUUCACACAGGAAACCAAGCAGGUCAAAACUGAGGUGCUGAUCACUAGUGGGAUCGCACCUGUGAAAAGCCACUGCACUCCAUGCUGAGCAACAUAGUGAGACUAAUCUU
rnacentral:sRNA from 1 species